GCGUGGAGGUGAUCCCGGCGGCGCUGAUCCGCGGUCGGAUUUUUCCAAGGGCACCGGGAGCGGAGCCGUGGGGUUGGCUGGUCUGAGGGAACCCAACGAUGAUGGACGCCAGGGAGGUCAGAUCACUGCACACCGACACCCGUUUACCUGAUGGAGGCUGUGACAGGUGGCGGAAGCCAUUACUCUCUUUUGCACGGCGACCACGGGUCACUAAAAGAACCGUGGGGGGAAAAUACCCCCCAGUACCUGUGUGGACAUCAUACACUUUAACGGUUACUGAGGGUUUCUUUGUUCAUAGACGGGAAGAACAAGCUUCAUAUUUCAUAAAUGUUCAGCGUGGACCUGAGGAACUUAGUUGAUCAACAGAAAACGUAAUAGUAUUAAAUGAUCAAUUCAUUUCAGUCAUUUUUCAUGCAGAAAAGUCCGGCAGCCAAAUUCAGCCUCUCAAAUUGAAGAGUGAACGUAUAAUCUUAGAUGAAUUAAACAGGGAACUUGAAGCUGUAACCUUGGGCUGAAGCGUCAUAUAAUUCAUAGACGCGUUUAAAUUGUCAGCAGAUUCAUCUUAAGAAGUGCAAGCAGUGGUUUGGUGAGUGUUUCAACUCCCAUACGUCCUGAUUAUAUAAAUUAAUACAGAUCGCUGUUUUCCGCUUUAAUUUCUCGUGUAUUUAGCGUGUGUGGUUUUAACAAACCAAGUUAUCCAGGAACCAAACCAACACACCCAAACCUGUUAAUGUUGAGCUUUUCAAAUGAAUGUGUCUGUAUUGAACACAUCAACAUUUUUCUCAGUAAAUAUAUUUCUAAAGGUGCUGUUGACAUGAAAUUUUCACUAGAUGUCGUAAUUAAUUCAUGAAUAUAAAAAAAACAGAAAUUGAGUUAUGUGCAAUAAAAUGGAAUGACACCAGGGGAAACGUAGUGAACACAUGAAGAAAGGAAGGUGAAGAAAGGACAGCCAAGACACGAGCUGGAAUCUAACAGUAAUAAGAAAGCACUGCUGCCCCUUGUCAUGCAAAUGUAUAUCAUCUGAUUCAGUCGCAACUGAUGGCCUAUAAAAAGGUGUCUCAUUACCAUGGUGUCCCACAUGAAGGGUAAGAGCAAAGAGCUUGCGCAAGACCUUUGCUACCUUUUUGGUGCAAAACAUCCUGAUGGCGUUGCGUCACUUAUAGAAAGUCAUAAUACGGAAGUGAGAUUAUAAUUUCUCCAUAAACCGGCCACGACCAGGUGCUCCUCGAGAGAUUUCUGAUAGAGAGAAAAUAAUUAAGAGAAGAGUUGUCCAAGAGCCAAGGACCACUUGUGGACGAUAAUACACACCAUGUUUGGAGGUCAAAUUGCACUGCACAUCCCCCCCAAAACACCAGACCAACAGGUUUGAAGGUGGGAACAUUUUUUCUGCAAACGGCACUGGCAAAUUUCCUAUAAUUGAAGGAAGGGAGAAUGGAAAAAUGUACCAAGACAUUCUUGAUAAAAAUCUGCUGCCAUUUACCAGGAUGAUGAAGAUGAAACAAGGGUGGACAUUUCAACGACACGACAAUGGUCCCAAACACACAGCCAAGGAAACUCUUAAUGGGUUUCAGAGACGCAAGAUAAAGCUGCUGGGAUGGAACAGCCAAUCCCCCCACUUGAAUCCAACCGACGUCAUAAGGAACAAAGACUUUUGUACAAAGGGUUGAAUAAAUGUAAGACUGUGUGUAAAAUAAGAGUCCUAUGAUACUGAAAUAAAGAAACUUGAGAAAAGAA